rnacentral:ribozyme from 14 species
AAGAUACAUUCAGAGAAUCAAGUAAAAAAACAGUGAAAGCAAGCAAAAUGGAGAUUCUUGCAGCCAGAAUAGUACGCAUCAUGUUCUACCGUUAUUUAU